GGCCACAGCGAAGGGGAGUAGCCCCCAAUCGCGUAGUCGACAUACUGAUCCACCGCCCACCGCGGCGCGGGUCCGGCUGCGUGAACCGGAAUCCCUCCGGUGGGCGAGACCUUCGGCCGAGAC
rnacentral:misc_RNA from 1 species